rnacentral:rRNA from 1 species
UAGAGUUUGAUCAUGGCUCAGAAUCAACGCUGGCGGCGUGCAUAACACAUGCAAGUCGAACGAGAAAGUGGGGGCAACCCCGCGAGUAAAGUGGCAGACGGGUGAGUAACACGUGAAUAACCCACACCCCUGUGGGGAAUAACCCCGCGAAAGCGGGGCUAAUACCGCAUAACAUCACGGGAUCGCAUGGUCUUGUGAUCAAAGGCUUCGGUCGCUGGGGAAGGGGUUCACGCCUGAUUAGCUAGUUGGUGAGGUAACGGCCCACCAAGGCAACGAUCAGUAGCCGGCCUGAGAGGGCGUACGGCCACACUGGAACUGAGACACGGUCCAGACUCCUACGGGAGGCAGCAGUGGGGAAUUUUGCGCAAUGGGCGAAAGCCUGACGCAGCAACGCCGCGUGGAGGAUGAAGGUCUUCGGAUCGUAAACUCCUGUUAGGGGGGACGAAAGCCGCGCAAGCGGUCUGACUGUACCCUCUGAGGAAGCCACGGCUAACUCCGUGCCAGCAGCCGCGGUAAUACGGAGGUGGCAAGCGUUGUUCGGAAUUACUGGGCGUAAAGGGCGCGUAGGCGGCUUGGCAAGUCAGAUGUGAAAGCCCCGGGCUUAACUUGGGAAUUGCAUCUGAAACUGCUUUGCUUGAGUCCUGGAGGGGGUAGUGGAAUUCCCAGUGUAGCGGUGAAAUGCGU